rnacentral:rRNA from 1 species
GAUGAACGCUAGCGGCAGGCCUAAUACAUGCAAGUCGAGGGGUAGAAGAGGCUUGCUUCUUUGAGACCGGCGCACGGGUGCGUAACGCGUAUGCAACCUACCUUCAUCUGGGGGAUAGCCCGGAGAAAUCCGGAUUAAUACCGCAUAAAAUCACAGGAUGGCAUUAUCCAAUGAUCAAACAUUUAUGGGAUGGAGAUGGGCAUGCGUGUCAUUAGCUAGUUGGCGGGGUAACGGCCCACCAAGGCGACGAUGACUAGGGGAUCUGAGAGGAUGGGCCCCCACACGGGUACUGAGACACGGACCAGACUCCUACGGGAGGCAGCAGUAAGGAAUAUUGGUCAAUGGAGGCAACUCUGAACCAGCCAUGCCGCGUGCAGGAAGACUGCCCUAUGGGUUGUAAACUGCUUUUAUUCGGGAAUAAACCUUAUUACGUGUAAUAAGCUGAAUGUACCGAAGGAAUAAGGAUCGGCUAACUCCGUGCCAGCCGCCGCAGUAA